UCUUCUCCUAGUUUCUUUAUCAUUGUGGACUGACGUUUUUGCAAAGUUCAUUUUCAGUUUCUAUUUUAUUUUUCCAGUGUUGGGGAAAGGUCUCAAGUAAGACAGAGAAGGCAGAAAUUCACCAGCAAAUCCAAACUGGGGAAAUCCCAGAGUUGAAGACAAGAAACUUAAGAAAACCUUACAAAAAGAAACAUGCUUGGGGCUACUCUUGUUUGCUGGUAGAAUGAUCUGUAGAAAAUUCUGAGAUAAGGUGUUAAAAGUAAGAAAAUGCAGGCAUAAUUAUGAUCAGACUGUCAACUUUCCCCUUGUCUAAUGGGAGCCAAAGAAUGAUGUUUUAAUGCUCAGCUUCUAGAUGAAAUAUGUAUUAGCAAACUAUUCUAGGCCUUUAUAUUCCUUUAUUUUUGUUUUCAAAAAUUCCCAUGACAAUAUUCUGGCAUCCAUGCCACAUGAGGAUACAUUUCGUGCCAAAACAAGCUUAGGAAAUCUGCAGUUUAAAGGAGGAAGGUAUGCUGCAGCUGAGAGCAGACGCUUCUAAGGCAUCUUGGGAAGGCAUUGUUCCUGAGAGUAGCUUCAAUAAGCCACGUGGAUGCAAUUAUCCAGCUCAGGGGUUGUUUCUUAUGGAAUCCAACCUAUGACUGUUGACGCCAGGAGUGGUCCUGGGAAGGAGACUCUGAAAAUUUUGGAGCUGGCUGGGAAUAAGAGUCCUGUUGCUGUUGAUAUCUGAGAGCAACCUUCUGCCAGGAUUUGCCCUGCCCACAGGCGUUAGCAUGGACUUGAUGACUGCGGUGUGGCUUUUACUUUCUCAAUUUUCCAGAGCUCAUACUCCUCAAACUCCAGAGGAAUAAGAUUUCUUUUUCUCUGGAAAUGUCUACUGAAUACAGAAAUGAACACACUGAAAUAUUUUCAUGCAUUGCCUCAGAGGAAGGGUGACCGAAGGAGAGCUCGAGAAACGGAAAGAGAAUGAGAACAGAGAGAGAUAAAGAAAAGCAUACAAAAUAUUUAUUGCUGCAUUUCCGUGCCUUCUCCACAAUAUUGAGGCCUGAAUUAGGUAGGUAGUUGAAAUCUCUCUAAAAGUGAGUCAGAUAUUGUGUCCGGAAUUGGUGGGUUCUUGAUCGCACUGACUUCAAGAAUGAAGCCGUGGACCCUCGCGGUGAGUGUUACAGCUCUUAAGGUGGCGCGUCUGGAGUCUGCCCCUUCUGAUGUUCAGAUGUGUUCGGAGUUUCUUUCUUCUGGUGGGUUCGUGGUCUCUCUGGCUCAGGAGUGAAGCUGCAGAUCUUCGCGGUGAGUGUUACAGCUCUUAAGGUAGCGUGUCUGGAGUUGUUCAUUUCUCCCUGUGGGCUCGUGGUCUUGCUGGGCUCAGGAGUGAAGCUGUAGAUCUUCGCAGUAAGUGUUACAGCUCAUAAAAGCAGCAUAGACCCAGAGUGAGCAGUAGCAAGAUUUAUUGCAAAGAGCGAAAGAACAAAGCUUCCACAGUGUGGAAGGGGACCCGAGCGGGUUGCCAAUGCUGGCUCGGGCAGCCUGUUUUUAUUCUUAUCUGGCCCCACCCACAUCCUGCUGAUUGGUAGAGCCGAGU
rnacentral:lncRNA from 1 species